rnacentral:misc_RNA from 1 species
AUUUCGAUGGACUUUAUUGUUGGCUUGCCGAAAGUUAAUGGGCUGGGCAACAUUAUGGUUGUUGUGGACAGAUUGAGCAAGUAUGCAGUAUUUAUUCCAGCUCCGGCUUUGUUUGAUGCAAAGGAGGCAGCGAGGUUAUUUUUCCGUGGUGUUGUGAAGUACUGGGGGCUGCCGAGGGACAUAGUUAGUGACCGAGAUGCAAGGUUCACAGGCCGAUUCUGGACAGAGUUAUUCAGAAUUAUGGGGACCGAACUGAAGUUCUCCACCAGUUUUCACCCACAGACGGAUGGGCAAACCGAGCGGAUUAAUGCACUACUUGAGCUGUAUCUGAGGCAUUUUGUUGCCGCAAAUCAGAGGGACUGGCCAGAUUUGCUGGAUGUGGCGCAGUUCUCCUACAACUUGCAGAAGAGUGAAUCGACGGGGGCAACACCAUUCGAGAUAGUUACGGGGCAGCAGCCCCUCACGCCCCACACUGUGAUGAUACCGUAUAGGGGACCCAACCCGAGUGCUUUUAAGUUUGCCAAGGGGUGGAAAGAGACCGUGGAGCUUGCUAAGGUCUCCUUGGCCCGAGCCACCAAGAAAAUGAAGAAGUGGGCAGAUUCAAGGAGGCGGCAUUUGGAGUUUUCCGAGGGGGACAUGGUACUUGUGAGGAUGUUCCCCCGUACCCAUGGUAAACGGCACAAGGGAUUGCUUCGGAAAUACGAGGGACCGUUUAUGGUUGAACAGCGGAUUGGGAAAGUAGCAUACAGAAUCAGGCUGCCUGCACAUUUGGAGUGCCAUCCGGUG